AGUGAACGCUGGCGGUAGGCCUAACACAUGCAAGUCGAACGGCAGCACAGUAAGAGCUUGCUCUUACGGGUGGCGAGUGGCGGACGGGUGAGGAAUACAUCGGAAUCUACUUUUUCGUGGGGGAUAACGUAGGGAAACUUACGCUAAUACCGCAUACGACCUACGGGUGAAAGCAGGGGAUCUUCGGACCUUGCGCGAUUGAAUGAGCCGAUGUGGGAUUAGCUAGUUGGCGGGGUAAAGGCCCACCAAGGCGACGAUCCGUAGCUGGUCUGAGAGGAUGAUCGGCCACACGGGAGCGGGGACACGGACCAUGCUCCUACGGGAGGCAGCAGUGGGGAAUAUUGGACAGUGGGGGCAAGCCUGGUCCAGCCAUACCGCGUGGGUGAAGAAGGCCUUCGGGUUGUAAAGCCCUUUUGUUGGGAAAGAAAAGCAGCAGGCUAAUACCCCGCUGUUCUGACGGUACCCAAAGAAUAAGCACCGGCUAACUUCGUG
rnacentral:rRNA from 1 species